UCCCUGUUGGUCUAGUGGUUAAGGACUCAGCAUUUUCACUGCUGUGGCUUGGAUCACUGCUGUGGUGAAGGUUCGAUUCCUCACCUGGGAA
rnacentral:tRNA from 1 species